rnacentral:rRNA from 1 species
UUUAUGGAGAGUUUGAUCCUGGCUCAGGAUGAACGCUGGCGGCGUGCCUAAUACAUGCAAGUCGAGCGAACGGACGAGAAGCUUGCUUCUCUGAUGUUAGCGGCGGACGGGUGAGUAACACGUGGAUAACCUACCUAUAAGACUGGGAUAACUUCGGGAAACCGGAGCUAAUACCGGAUAAUAUUUUGAACCGCAUGGUUCAAAAGUGAAAGACGGUCUUGCUGUCACUUAUAGAUGGAUCCGCGCUGCAUUAGCUAGUUGGUAAGGUAACGGCUUACCAAGGCAACGAUGCAUAGCCGACCUGAGAGGGUGAUCGGCCACACUGGAACUGAGACACGGUCCAGACUCCUACGGGAGGCAGCAGUAGGGAAUCUUCCGCAAUGGGCGAAAGCCUGACGGAGCAACGCCGCGUGAGUGAUGAAGGUCUUCGGAUCGUAAAACUCUGUUAUUAGGGAAGAACAUAUGUGUAAGUAACUGUGCACAUCUUGACGGUACCUAAUCAGAAAGCCACGGCUAACUACGUGCCAGCAGCCGCGGUAAUACGUAGGUGGCAAGCGUUAUCCGGAAUUAUUGGGCGUAAAGCGCGCGUAGGCGGUUUUUUAAGUCUGAUGUGAAAGCCCACGGCUCAACCGUGGAGGGUCAUUGGAAACUGGAAAACUUGAGUGCAGAAGAGGAAAGUGGAAUUCCAUGUGUAGCGGUGAAAUGCGCAGAGAUAUGGAGGAACACCAGUGGCGAAGGCGACUUUCUGGUCUGUAACUGACGCUGAUGUGCGAAAGCGUGGGGAUCAAACAGGAUUAGAUACCCUGGUAGUCCACGCCGUAAACGAUGAGUGCUAAGUGUUAGGGGGUUUCCGCCCCUUAGUGCUGCAGCUAACGCAUUAAGCACUCCGCCUGGGGAGUACGACCGCAAGGUUGAAACUCAAAGGAAUUGACGGGGACCCGCACAAGCGGUGGAGCAUGUGGUUUAAUUCGAAGCAACGCGAAGAACCUUACCAAAUCUUGACAUCCUUUGACAACUCUAGAGAUAGAGCCUUCCCCUUCGGGGGACAAAGUGACAGGUGGUGCAUGGUUGUCGUCAGCUCGUGUCGUGAGAUGUUGGGUUAAGUCCCGCAACGAGCGCAACCCUUAAGCUUAGUUGCCAUCAUUAAGUUGGGCACUCUAAGUUGACUGCCGGUGACAAACCGGAGGAAGGUGAGGAUGACGUCAAAUCAUCAUGCCCCUUAUGAUUUGGGCUACACACGUGCUACAAUGGACAAUACAAAGGGCAGCGAAACCGCGAGGUCAAGCAAAUCCCAUAAAGUUGUUCUCAGUUCGGAUUGUAGUCUGCAACUCGACUACAUGAAGCUGGAAUCGCUAGUAAUCGUAGAUCAGCAUGCUACGGUGAAUACGUUCCCGGGUCUUGUACACACCGCCCGUCACACCACGAGAGUUUGUAACACCCGAAGCCGGUGGAGUAACCUUUUAGGAGCUAGCCGUCGAAGGUGGGACAAAUGAUUGGGGUGAAGUCGUAACAAGGUAGCCGUAUCGGAAGGUGCGGCUGGAUCACCUCCUUU